rnacentral:rRNA from 1 species
UGCAGUCGUACGAUGAAGACCGGCUUGCUGGGCGGAUUAGUGGCGAACGGGUGAGUAACACGUGAGUAACCUGCCCUUGACUCUGGGAUAAGCCCGGGAAACUGGGUCUAAUACCGGAUAGGAACGCCUAUCGCAUGAUGGGUGUUGGAAAGAUUUUUCGGUCAUGGAUGGACUCGCGGCCUAUCAGCUUGUUGGUGAGGUAAUGGCUCACCAAGGCGACGACGGGUAGCCGGCCUGAGAGGGUGACCGGCCACACUGGGACUGAGACACGGCCCAGACUCCUACGGGAGGCAGCAGUGGGGAAUAUUGCACAAUGGGCGAAAGCCUGAUGCAGCGACGCCGCGUGAGGGAUGACGGCCUUCGGGUUGUAAACCUUCUUUUCAGUAAGGAAAGAAAGCGAAAAGUGACGGGUACCUGCAAGAAAGGAAGCACCGGCUUAACUACGUGCCAAGCAGCCGCGGUAAUACGUAGGGGUGCGAGCGUUAUCCGGAAUUUAUUGGGCGUAAAGAGCUCGUAGGGCGGUUUGUCACGUCUGUCGUGAAAGUCCCGGGGCUUAACCCCGGAUCUGCGGUGGGUACGGGCAGACUAGAGUGCCAGUAGGGGGAGACUGGAAUUCCUGGUGUAGCGGUGGAAUGCGCAGAUAUCAGGAGGGAACACCGAUGGCGAAGGCAGGUCUCUGGGCUGUAACUGACGCUGAGGAGCGAAAGCAUGGGGAGCGAACAGGAUUAGAUACCCUGGUAGUCCAUGCCGUAAACGUUGGGCACUAGGUGUGGGGACCAUUCCACGGUUUCCGCGCCGCAGCUAACGCAUUAAGUGCCCCGCCUGGGGAGUACGGCCGCAAGGCUAAAACUCAAAGGAAUUGACGGGGGCCCGCACAAGCGGCGGAGCAUGCGGAUUAAUUCGAUGCAACGCGAAGAACCUUACCAAGGCUUGACAUGUUUUCGAUCGCCGUGGAGACACGGUUUCCCCUUUGGGGCGGAUUCACAGGUGGUGCAUGGUUGUCGUCAGCUCGUGUCGUGAGAUGUUGGGUUAAGUCCCGCAACGAGCGCAACCCUCGUUCCAUGUUGCCAGCACGUAGUGGUGGGGACUCAUGGGAGACUGCCGGGGUCAACUCGGAGGAAGGUGAGGACGACGUCAAAUCAUCAUGCCCCUUAUGUCUUGGGCUUCACGCAUGCUACAAUGGCCGGUACAAUGGGUUGCGAUACUGUGAGGUGGAGCUAAUCCCAAAAAGCCGGUCUCAGUUCGGAUUGGGGUCUGCAACUCGACCCCAUGAAGUCGGAGUCGCUAGUAAUCGCAGAUCAGCAACGCUGCGGUGAAUACGUUCCCGGGCCUUGUACACACCGCCCGUCAAGUCACGAAAGUCGGUAACACCCGAAGCCGGG